AUCCAGUUGACGAAUCACAAAUAGGACGAAGACGCGCUCGUCCUGGAU
rnacentral:hammerhead_ribozyme from 1 species